rnacentral:lncRNA from 1 species
AUGUUAAACAAGCUUUAUUAAAAUUAAGUACUGUGUGUCCUGAUAGACAGACAGACAGAGUCUUAGAAAGACAGAUAAGCAAGUUGUCGGGCCGUUGAGUCUGGCUUAUGAGCAAAGCUGCUGCCGUCACACGGUGACCCCGGGCAAGGCCUGAGCUGGUUGUGUGGAGGGGGUCACGGCCACACCAUCACACCUGGCUGGCAUCUCCCUUAUAAACAUGCCCCUGACUGGCCAACCAGGAUGGCGGAAGGCUGUCCUGCAGCCAGAGUUGGGAGCAAGAACGCAGCCUGAAGCCCCAGGGCCUGUGUUCCAAUGGCGGCCACCCUUGGCAUGGUGUCUGUCUGUCCCUUCGGCACAUGGCACAUACAGCUAUGUUAACUCACAAGCCUCAAUCAGGGAGUUAUGACACCUUACCUGGACCAAACAGUUUGCCUUUGCUUAUCUGUGAGAAAAAAGUUUACUAGUCAAAUUAAUAAUAAUAACAUCUGUAGACAUUAAUUUUGUCUUAUUUAAUAAAACAACUUUUAAAUACUUUAAGAAAUUAAAGUAAGAGAUGCUACCCUCAGGAUGAGUCAAAAAGGGGACUGGCAGGACCUUCUUUUAGCACCCCACCAACCUGGGAAAACGUGAGACAACUUACAAUAAAAAGCAUAGAUAACGAUGAAACGAAAAAGCAUUAAAAUAAGAGCAGAAAUAUAAGAAAGUAGUAGUAAUGAUGAAAGUGAGCAAGAAAGCCCAGGCCGAGAGAAAAAGUCUCAAUCCUGCCCAAAGCACAGCUCAGCUAAGAGGCAGUGAGAGAAACAGCUCCUGAGAUCUACACAGCGAGCGACCUGCCUACCUCUCGCCAGGUCACGGGAGCCCUUGUUCGAGUGCAGUCCCCAGCCCACCUCCCAAGAUUCGGCGGGCCUGGGACUUGAUGUUGGCAGGUCUGGAAGGGGACUCAGGCCCCUUUUCCUGUUUUCUGUCCCCGAGGUGAUUUGUGGGCCGUCCGGUUAGGAAGCAAGAGGGCUCGAGCAGGAAGGACAUUCGCAGGUCCCGGGCUCCCUGACGCACGAAGCUGUAAGUCGUGAAAUGUCUAGUGUUCGUGCCUUAGACUCACCCUCCAGUGGACGGGCUGAACCCACACCACCUCAUUUCCCUCUGCCUGUCGACGCUUCAGAAUCCCGCCCUGUGUCCCCUGUCAAAUGCCACUUUGUCCCCAUGAACCAGUAGCAUGCAGAGUGGCCUGUACGCAGCAGGUGCUCAGUAGAUGUCUACAAGGCGUCUGCGGUCUGGACCAGGGCUUCUGUUUACUCAUAUGGUGCUGACAGCAGAAAGCUGCAAAGAGGCGGGGCUGGACUCACACCCCCAGGUCUCUACCUGUGAGAGAACCCGGCCUCAGGCGGGAGGGGAGGAGGCGCAGGCCGCUGCAGGGUGGUUCAGAGCAUGGGCUCUGGCUUAGACCUGGAAGCAGCGGAGCUGUGUGUCCUUGGACAGGGCACUCAACCUGUCUGUGCCUUAGCCUCCUGGCCUAUAGGAGGUAGAUCAUGAUGGUGUCCACUUGUGAUGUCAUUAUGGAACCUGAGCGAAUGAAUACAGAGGAAGCACGUGGUGGGCGCUCGAUACCAGAACUGUCCCUUCUCUCUCUUCCUGUGUGACCAGUGCCCCAUCACAGGAACGGCAUGAUCUGUGAGGACUGGGGAUCCUGGGGACCCGCUCCUGCUCACAGAGUGACACCACGUUCCUGCAGGGCUCCCGAGCUCACGCAGCGCUUCUAAGCAAUCAUCAUAUUUUGUCACCUGUGCAGCCCGGAUACAGCAGGAUGGGCCCAAAUUACAGCGGCCGGCACAGAGAGAAGCCGAGUGAUUCCAUGAGAUUACAUGGCUGAUGAGUGACAGGGCCAGAGCUCAAACUCAGACCUUCCGCCUCCAAGUCGAGUUGCCAUCCCACCCGGGCGUGGUCUGGAACCCUCUGCGGCCUGGGUAGCUGUGGGUGAUGGCAGCCCCCUGGAGUGACACAGGCAUUGGCAGCCUGGCCAUUGAGGUGGCUUCUGAGUCCACAGGGAGACACAGCCCUGCAAGUCAGGCUUUUUCAAGAGAGAAGGAGAUCCCCAGGUUCCAAAAGCCACCUUUGUGCUUCAGGAGGCCUGUCUGGGGCCACAGGUCCUGCCGUCACCAUCAGGGGAGCUCAGACAUGCCUGUGGAGGGCCCCGACCAGGGGGACCAGCCUCCAGGGCAGCCGCCAGGGACAGGAGAGCUGUCACAGCAGGGACCUCCAGUGAGCUCAGGACCCCAGCCCACACUGGCUAAACCUGGUGACGUGGUGGCUGAAAACGCCAAGGUGUGCAGAGGCAAGGAACAAGAGGAGAGGCUCGUGCCAGUCAGGGGCUGUGUCCCCUAGAUGCAUAUGUCGACAUCCUGACCCCCUCAGGAUGCGACUGUAUUUGGAGACUGGGCCUUUAAAGAGGUGGUCAAGGUAAAACGAGGCCCUUAGGGUGGGCCCUGAUCCAGUGUGACUGGUGCCCUCAUGAGAGAGGAGAUGAGGACACACACACGCACAGAGGUAAUACCAUGUGAGGACACAGGGGGAAGAUGACAGUGUCCACACCCCAAGGAGAGAGGCAUCAGGAGGAACCAGCCCUGCUAACACCUUAAUCUCCAACUUCCAGCCUCCAGGAUGGAGGAAGAACAUGUUUCUGUUGUUUAAGCCCCUGGUCUGUGGUAUUUGACUGACUGACACUGGAACCUGGGAGAAGGCCACACCCAGAGACCCUCCCAGGUUACCAGGAGCCUCGAUAGAAGCAGAGAAAUGAGGCCAUGGCCUGUGCAAGCCAAGAGAGCUGGGGAUACCUUCCUUGGUCCCCACCCCACUCCCAGGUGGUAAGGAAGGGAUCCAUCAGGAAGGUCUGCCCUCUGGGGAGAGCGAGCGGGAUGCCUGGGGGCUGCAGUAGGGGUGGGAGGCUGUGCAGGGCUGGGGAGCGGGCAGGUGGAGGCCGAGCCUCCGAGGGCCCUGAGGCCAGGGGUGAGGGUCGGGGGAUAGCUCAGGGCCCCCACGCCAUCAAGGGGUCAUCAGCCAUGGGCUCCAGCAGUAGAAGGCCCACGACUCCCAGGACAGCAGCGCGGAACGUGCCGGGGCCUGACCGUCCUCCCCUGUCCACCUGAGGGCGUAUAAAGUUCCCCAUGCUCGCGUCUCCCGGCCACUUGCCUGGGAAGGCAGAGGCUUGUCUGGGUCUGCUGAGAGGGGUGGGCGCCUAGAACUACGCUUGGCACACAGCAGGCCCUCAGGAAACAGCUGUUCAAUGAAUGAAUGGGUGGAGGAGAAAUCCUGAAAACUGCGUUUACACAGUCAGUCUCCUGUGAGAGGCCGCAUCACCCCCAGUUGGCGGGUUCGCCCCACCAGCCUUGGCGGGGGCAUGAGAACGAGACAGGGGUCAUUUCGUCCUGAAGCUGGGGAGGGGAGCCUGCCCAUAAGUGGCAAGGGCAUUCCAUCCAGGUCCUGGGCAUGGGGAGAGGCUCACAUGGCCCUUGGGCUCCGUUUGUCACAGCCUGGGAUGCUGGCUUUCCUGGCACUGAGAGAGUGACUGCCUGAAGCGGUGGGCGCUGGGGAGGCUGUCGGUGGGAAGGGGGCUGGUGUGGUGCCCAGGAUGUCACUGCUAUUAGAACAGGUCAGUGUAGACCCCCUCUGCCCACCCGCGGGUCCCUCCAGACCAUCCUGGGGACUGUACAUAUACAGGACUCUAGGACACCUGGUGUGGACCCACCACGUUCGGUUUGGACUCAGUGAGCUGGGAACAUGGACGCGUGUUGGCUGCUGCCUCGUGGCACCCUGGGGCACCCGUGGAGCACCUACUGAGGCUGGAUAGGUCCCCACCCCGAGUUUGGAGUCCUCGUCUGUAAAUCGGGGCAAGCAAGCCCCCUGGGGGGGUUGUGAGGUGCACCACGAAGGUGUCAGCAGAGCCCUCACCCAGCACGGGGCUGAGCCAGUGUCUGUCUCCCUGGAAUUGCGGGACUGCGUGAGGACCCGUCCGGGCCUGGGACCCAGCUCUCCUGGCUGCCGUCCUCCCUGCAUAGGACUUACACGAGGGGGUCUCACAAAGCUGAGCGCAUGGAACUCCCAUUCUGUGAAGAGAGAAGUUCUGAAAAGCCUUUCUGCUAACAAAUGCCUAGACAUUUGUUUAAAAUGAUGCAAACAUUUUUCAGUGUUCUGCUGAGGUCCGAACAAAGUGAGGGAAGUUCCCGGAGUGGAGCAAGAGAAGCUGAAGGCCAGAGGGCGGAGCGGGAGCUGCCCGGUGCCUGCACCUGCUGUCCCCAGGCUGAGCCAGGGCGCUGGGGACACAGACAGAACACAGGCCGCUGCCCUGAAUGACAGGCCAGGCUGUGAAGCCAGGAUGGACGGGACGUUCUGCAAACAGCUGCCUAAGACUCCCCAAAGUGUUGACGCCGGAAAAGGCAGCCAGACAACGUCUGAGGCACCGUCAGAAGAAGAAAGGGAGCUAGGAGACAUGAAAACUUUGCCAAUUUAAAACGGGACGAAUGGGAAGGAAGAAAGCCUUCGUGAGCAGAGAGGGAGAACUGGAAGACGCAGAAGGCCACCAGGAGCCUGGGAACCACGGGUUAGUCGCAGAGGAAAGAAGAUUUUGUACAGCAGAUCUCACCUUUUAUGACACCAAUGACGUCCCUGGUCUGUGUGGCUGAAGCAGCACGUGGUCCUGCAGGGUGGACCCGGGCCACCUCUGCACCUUCACGGGGGACCAUUCGCUGCAGGCGUUCUCUAAGAAAAGCACUGGGCUUUUAAACAGCUGUCAGGUCCACAAAGUUCAAGUCCAUGCAUUUCUUCUCCUCUCAUAUUGAUAAGAAUUUAUAGUAAGAACCCAAGAUAUCUGCUAUUUUAAAUAACUUGAGAAUUUCUUUUUUGUUACCAUAUAUGUUCCCUUAAAAAAGAAAAGAAAAACAGAACAGUGGGCAGGAACGUAACUCCUAAGCAGCCGUCCAUCAACACCUAACUCGCCACAGCAGAGAGAGAGUUCCCAUGUGCUUGGUUUGUGACAAAACGUGAGCAUCCCGAGACACGGCCCCAGCUGCCCAGGAAAGGAGAGCUGUGACGCUGGACUCUGCUCACGGCAGAAGCCACACGGCCCCUCCACUCAGCUGAGAGCAAAGCGGAAACUGCAGGAGGUGGAUGUAAACAUGGCUGCUGCCCGGUUUGCGUCUCCCAGGCACAACCUGCAGUACCGAAGGCAGCCCGGUACCUGUGGAAGGGCCCCGGCAGCCCCCCAGCUGUAGACACGCCCAGUGGCCCUGAUUCUGAGGGGAGCCAUGUCCCAUUUGGGUCACUUCAGGAGGCUUUUCAUGACAGUGACUUAUGAGAAUGUCAGUACUUCCAGAACCCCUGCCAAGUCCAGCUUCCAGACAAGCACGGAACCCUCACGGCCUGCACAGCUCCAACCUUCAGCCCCCAGAGAGAAGCCAGUCAAGGAUUUCCACGACUCCAGCUCUGUACCUGUGUCUGAUCUCACGCACGCAGGCACAAACAUAUGCAUGCACACACACACACACAUACACACACACAGGGGUUAUUUCUCUAUCUGCUGGCUUUCUUGUGCCCAGAGAUUGUCCUUUUCCCAGCCUUGUGGGCCCAGGGGGGACCAGGAGGGCAUGUGCCCGGGAACAGCUCCUGUCUAGAAGACUUGG